rnacentral:rRNA from 1 species
ACCCGCUGAAUUUAAGCAUAUAACUAAGCGGAGGAAAAGAAACUAACAAGGAUUCCCCUAGUAAGGGCGACUGAAGCGGGAUCAGCCCAGAUUGUAAACUGACCUUAAUUAAGGUUGGGUUGUAGUCUAAAGAGGCGACGCCAGGCAAGGUCCGGGGAGAAGUCCCUUGGAACAGGGCAUCGGAGAGGGUGACAAUCCCGUCUGUGCCUCGGACCGCGUCGUACGGUGCGUCUUCGACGAGUCGGUUUGCUUGGGAUUGCAGACCAAACGGGUGGUAAAUUCCAUCUAAGGCUAAAUACGGGUGGGAGACCGAUAGCGAACAAGUACCGUGAGGGAAAGAUGCAAAGAACUUUGAAAAGAGAGUUAAAAAGGGCCUGAAACUGGUAAGAGGGAACCGAACGGCAGAAGUGGUGAUGGGCGCGUAUUUUCCGCCGGGCUCUUGGCCGGCGUACUUGUGCGCGUCCGUAGGUCAGCGUGGGUUGGGGCGUGGGAGUCGUUCAUGGGAAGGUCUUCGGGCCAAUCUCGUGUUCAGGCCGCGCCUGAGACCUUCGGUGACGAAAUUCUUCUGUUCACCCCGUCUUGAAACACGGACCAAGGAGUCUAAAAUACGAGCGAGUGCGCCGGUGGCAACCCGGGGCGCGUAAUGAAAGUGAGACCGACGGUGGGAGGGCUUUACGUCCGCACCAUCAACCGACCAGGAUCCUUCGGGUGAAAGGUUUGAGUGUAGCUUGUAUUUUGGGACCCGAAAGAUGGUGAACUAUGCCUGAAUAGGGCGAAGCCAGGGGAAACUCUGGUGGAGGCUCGUAGCGAUUCUGACGUGCAAAUCGAUCGUCAAAUUUGGGUAUAGGGGCGAAAGACUAAUCGAACCAUCUAGUAGCUGGUUCCCUCCGAAAUUUCCCUCAGGAUAGCAGCAAUCGAAGAGUUUUAUCAGGUAAAGCGAAUGAUUAGAGGCCUCAGGGGUGGAACGUCCUUGACCUAUUCUCAAACUUUAAAUGGGUAAGAGCCAGGGGUUGCUUAAGUGAACCCCUCGGUCGAAUCGCGGUUGCUAGUGGGCCACCCGGGGUAAGCUCGGUUGGCGAUGCGGGAUGAUCCGAACGUCGAGUUAAAGUGCCUCACUGCCCGCUCACCUAGAUCCCACAAAAGGUGUUGGUUCAUUUAGACAGCAGGACGGUGGCCAUGGAAGUCGGAACCCGCUAAGGAGUGUGUAACAACUCACCUGCCGAAUGGAUUAGCCCUGAAAAUGGAUGGCGCUGAAGCGAGCGACUUAUACUCGACCAUCACGGCAAGUGCGACGCCGUGAUGAGUAGGAGGGCGUGGGGCUCGUGGCGCAUCCCGCGGCGUGAGCCGGGGUGAAACGGGCUCUAGUGCAGAUCUUGGUGGUAGUAGC